AGAUAAUUGUUAAGAGCAUUUGGUGGAUGCCCUGGCAUUAGGAGACGACGAAGGAAGUGGAAGACUGCUUAAAGCCUCGGGGAGUUGUCAAUCAAGCAUUGAUCCGGGGAUUUCCGAAUGGGGAAACCCACUCAAGUAAAUCUUGAGUAUCCUUAUCUGAAUACAUAGGGUAAGGAAGUUAACGGCGUGAACUGAAACAUCUAAGUAGCGCCAGGAAAAGAAAACGAAUGUGAUUCCCUUAGUAGUGGUGAGCGAAACGGGAACAGCUUAAAACUUGUGUUGUGCAAGCGUGUACGCGUUGCAAUACAAGGGAAGUGGGAAAUAAUUCUGGAAAGUACAUUUUUCAGGCCAUUACAUCUAAUUCAAUUGAAGAUUCUGGAAAGGAUCACCAUAGAAAGUGAUAGUCUUGUAGAUAAAGAAUUAGACGGUUUGGUGUUAUUCUCCCAAGUACCAUGGAGCACGUGAAAUUCUGUGGGAAUCUGCCCCGACCAUGGGGUAAAGCUAAAUACUACCUAAUGACCGAUAGUGCACAAGUACCGCGAGGGAAAGGUGAAAAGAACCCCGGAAGGGGAGUGAAAUAGAACUUGAAACCAAAUGUUUACAAGCGGUGGAAGCGAUAUAUACGUAUGCGCGACCACGUGCCUUUUGCAUAAUGAGCCAACGAGUUGUUCCUAUAUUGCAAGGUUAAGUUUUGAAAGAACGGAGCCGUAGCGAAAGCGAGUCUGAUAAGGGCGAUUUAGUAGUAUGGGACAGACCCGAAACCUAGUGAGCUAUCCAUGGACAGGAUGAAGUCUCGAUAACUCGAGAUGGAGGUCCGAACCGGUGUGGGUUGAAAACUGCUCGGAUGAGCUGUGGAUAGGGGUGAAAGGCCAAUCAAACUGGGAGAUAGCUGGUUCUUCUCGAAAUAUAUUUAGGUAUAGCCUUGUCCGAUGACAUGCGGAGGUAAAGCACAGUUUAGGCUAGGGGGCGCAAGCUUACCAAACCUUUGCUAACUCUGAAUACCGUGUGUUUAGAAGACAGGAGUCAGACUGUGGGGGAUAGGCUCCAUGGUCGAAAGGGAAACAGCCCUGACCAUCAGCUAAGGUCCCAAAGUAUUCGUUAAGUGGUAAAAGAGGUGGAAAUACACAGACAGCCAGGAGGUUGGCUUAGAAGCAGCCAUCCUUUAAAGAAAGCGUAACAGCUCACUGGUCAAGUGUUUUUGCGCUGAAGCAUGAACGGGGCUUAAACGAAUCACCGAAGCUAUGGAUUGCGUCGUAAGAUGCAGUGGUAGAGAAGCGUUCUUUGGUAUAUGCAAGUUUGACCGUAAGGACAGAUGUGGACCAAAGAAGUGAGCAUGUUGGCAUAAGUAACGAAAAAACAGGUGAAAUUCCUGUUCGCCGAAAACCUAAGGUUUCCGUGAGAAAGGUUUAUCCACUCAGGGUUAGUCGAUAUUCUAAGCCGAGGCCAAUUGGAGUAGGCGAUGAAAAGCAGGUUAAAUAUUCCUGCACCACCUUUAGCGUUUGAGUGAUGGGGUGACGCAGUAAGACGAGCUGACUUGGACUUUGGAUUGCCAAGCUAAGCGUUUAGAGGUGUUUUAUUGGUAAAUCCGUAAAACAGUUCCUUGAGGCGUGAUGGGCAUAUCAAUCUUAGCGAGAGAUAUGUUAAGCUUAUUCUACACUGACUAGAAAAACCUCUAGCGAGCAAAAAGGUGAUCGUACCGUAAACCGACACAGGUAGGUAGGUAGAGAAUACUAAGGCGUUGAGAUAACUCUCAUUAAGGAACUCGGCAAAAUAGCCCCGUAACUUCGGGAUAAGGGGUGCCAGAUAUGUUAUUUUGUUAAAUCAUCUGAAGCAUUUUCUGGUUUCAACAAAGAGGCCCAAGCGACUGUUUAACAAAAACACAGGGCCAUGCUAACUCGUAAGAGGAUGUAUAUGGUCUGACGCCUGCCCAGUGCUGGAAGGUCAACAGGAGAUGUUAGCUCUUCGGAGCAAAGCAUUGAUUCGAAGCCCCAGUAAACGGCGGCCGUAACUCUGACGGUCCUAAGGUAGCGAAGUCCCUUGUCGGGUAAAUUCCGACCUGCAUGAAUGGCGUAACGACUUGGGCGCUGUCUUGAUGAGAGACUCAGUGAAUUUGUAGUAUCGGUGAAAAUGCCGGUUACCCGCGAUAGGACGGAAAGACCCUGUGCACCUUUACUAUAACUUGACAUUGAUUUUGGGAUUAGCUUGUGUAGGAUAGGCGGGAGACAUUGAUGGUACGGCGCUAGCUGUAUCGGAGUCAACCUUGAAAUACCGCCCUUGAUGUUUCUAAAAUCUAACUUUCUGCCGUUAGCCGGCGGAAGGACAGUGUCUGGUGGGUAGUUUGACUGGGGUGGUCGCCUCCCAAAUUGUAACGGAGGCGUUCAAAGGUUCCCUCAAGGCGAAUAGAAAUCGUCUUUUAGCGCGCAAAAGCAAAAGGGUGCUUGACUGCGAGACAAACAAGUCGAGCAGGUGCGAAAGCAGGAUUUAGUGAUCCAGUGGUUCCAUAUGGAAGGGCCAUUGCUAAACGGAUAAAAGGUACGCCGGGGAUAACAGGCUGAUCUCCUCUAAGAGUCCACAUCGACGAGGAGGUUUGGCACCUCGAUGUCGGCUCAUCACAUCCUGGGGCUGGAGAAGGUCCCAAGGGUUUGGCUGUUCGCCAAUUAAAGUGGUACGCGAGCUGGGUUCAGAACGUCGUAAGACAGUUCGGUCCUUAUCCAUCGUGGGCGUAGGAUAUUUGAGAAGAUCUGUCCCUAGUACGAGAGGACCGGGAUGGACGAACCUCUGGUGUUCCAAUUGUUUACCAAAAGCAACGUUGGGUAGCUAGGUUCGGAAGGGAUAACCGCUGAAAGCAUCUAAGUGGGAAGCCUACUUCAAGAUUAGAUAUCCCGUAUCAAGAUUCGGUUUUUUGGGUUCGCCUGGAAAAUUUGAUGAUUGGUACUUUGAAGAUCCCUUGAAGACUACAAGGUUGAUAGGCUGGGUGUGGAAGUGCAGUAAUGCAUGGAGCUAACCAGUACUAAUAGAUCGAUAGUUUUAUCUAU
rnacentral:rRNA from 1 species